rnacentral:rRNA from 1 species
AGUUUGAUCCUGGCUCAGGAUGAAUGCUGGCGGCGUGCCUUAAGCAUGCAAGUCGAACGAUUUCCGCAAGGAAGUAGUGGCAGACGGGUGAGUAACGCGUAGGAAUCUACCUCUAGGUGGGACAUAGCCAUCCGAAAGGAUGGGUAAUUUCCCAUAGUCUCGUAAGAGUAAAGGACUUAACUGUCCGCCAAGAGAGGAGCCUGCGUCCUAUCAGCUAGUUGGUGAGGUAAUGGCUUACCAAGGCGAUGACGGGUAGCUGGACUGAGAGGUCGAUCAGCCACAACUGCACUGAAAACGGGCAGUACACCUACGGGUGGCAGCAACUGGGAAUAUUGCGCAAUGGACGAAAGUCUGACGCAGCGACGCCGCGUGGAGGAUGAAGAUCUAUGGAUUGUAAACUCCUUUUGCUAAGCCGUUCACAGCUUAGAGAAUAAGCCCCUACUAACUACGUGCCAGAAGUCUCGGUGAUACGUAGGGGGCAAGCAUUAUCCGGAUUCAUUGGGCGUAAAGUGUGCGUAGGCGUCUUGAUAAGUCAUAUCUUAAAUACCGAGGCUUAACCUCGGAUCUGGAUAUGAUACUACCAAGAUUGAGGAUUGGCAGGGAUGCUGGAACAGUAAGUGUAGCAGUGAAAUGCGUUGAUAUUUACUGGAACACCAAAGGCGAAGGCAGGCAUCUGGGUUAUUCCUGACGUUGAGGCACGAAAGCUAGGGUAGCGAAACAGAUUAGAUACCUGUGUAGUCCUAGCCGUAAACGAUGUC